rnacentral:rRNA from 1 species
UACAGAGGGUGCGAGCGUUAAUCGGAAUUACUGGGCGUAAAGCGUGCGCAGGCGGGCUUUUAAGCCAGACGUGAAAUCCCCGGGCUUAACCUGGGAAUGGCGUUUGGGACUGGAAGUCUGGAGUGCGGCAGAGGAGACUGGAAUUCCUGGUGUAGCAGUGAAAUGCGUAGAUAUCAGGAGGAACACCAAUGGCGAAGGCAGCUCGCUGGAACGGUACUGACGCUGAGGCGCGAAAGCGUGGGGAGCGAACAGG